rnacentral:rRNA from 1 species
UGGGGAAUAUUGCACAAUGGGCGCAAGCCUGAUGCAGCCAUGCCGCGUGUAUGAAGAAGGCCUUAGGGUUGUAAAGUACUUUCAGCGGGGAGGAAGGUGAUAAGGUUAAUACCCUUAUCAAUUGACGUUACCCGCAGAAGAAGCACCGGCUAACUCCGUGCCAGCAGCCGCGGUAAUACGGAGGGUGCAAGCGUUAAUCGGAAUUACUGGGCGUAAAGCGCACGCAGGCGGUCAAUUAAGUCAGAUGUGAAAGCCCCGAGCUUAACUUGGGAAUUGCAUCUGAAACUGGUUGGCUAGAGUCUUGUAGAGGGGGGUUAGAAUUCCAUGUGUAGCGGUGAAAUGCGUAGAGAUGUGGAGGAAUACCGGUGGCGAAGGCGGCCCCCUGGACAAAGACUGACGCUCAGGUGCGAAAGCGUGGGGAGCAAACAGGAUUAGAUACCC